GGUUUCGUAGUGUAGUGGUUACAUCCACGUCUGCUUCACACGCAGAAGGUCCCCGGUUCGAUCCCGGGGCGAAACCA